CUCCUCUACUUUUUUCUAAUUCUUAAUUUCCUCGUUUUUUUUUUUACUUUGUUUCUAUUUCAUUUGCGUUUGAAUAAUGCAAUGUUUCCUUGAAUAUCGCAUAGCUUUCAUCAACAUCCGCUUUGGCGGCGGCUGUCACGGUGUUCUCGAGCCAAGCGCGUCUGGCUGCGGUCCGCCUUCACGGGCAAUCCGCGUGUCGAUCGCCGAUACAUACUCCCUCGUGAACCGAUUCGAGGACUGCCAGGCGGAGAGUUUGAUGGGGCGGCACAUCUGUCAAAGAAAAACGCAGGUGUCCUAAGGUCAACUCAGCGAGGACAAAAACCUCGCGUGGAGCAAAAGAGCAAAAGCUGACUUGAUCCCGAUGUGCAGUACGCAUAGGGACUGCGAAAGCAAGGCCUAUCGAUCCUUUUGGCUUGAAAAGUUUUCAACAAGAGGUGCCUGUGGCGGCUAAGAGUUUAGCGACGUCGCUUUUUGAUCCUUCGAUGUCAGGCUCUUCCUAUCAUUGCGAAGCAGAAUUCGCCAAGCGUCGGAUUGUUCACCCGCCAUACGGAACGUGAGCUGGGUUUAGACCGUCGUAAGAUAGGUUAGUU
rnacentral:ncRNA from 1 species